UAGAACAGUGCCAAGCGGUUGGCGGGAGCUUGCUCCUUGAUUCAGCGGCGGACGGGUGAGUAAUGCCUAGGAAUCUGCCUGGUAGUGGGGGACAACGUUUCGAAAGGAACGCUAAUACCGCAUACGUCCUACGGGAGAAAGCAGGGGACCUUCGGGCCUUGCGCUAUCAGAUGAGCCUAGGUCGGAUUAGCUAGUUGGUGAGGUAAUGGCUCACCAAGGCGACGAUCCGUAACUGGUCUGAGAGGAUGAUCAGUCACACUGGAACUGAGACACGGUCCAGACUCCUACGGGAGGCAGCAGUGGGGAAUAUUGGACAAUGGGCGAAAGCCUGAUCCAGCCAUGCCGCGUGUGUGAAGAAGGUCUUCGGAUUGUAAAGCACUUUAAGUUGGGAGGAAGGGCAGUAAGUUAAUACCUUGCUGUUUUGACGUUACCGACAGAAUAAGCACCGGCUAACUCUGUGCCAGCAGCCGCGGUAAUACAGAGGGUGCAAGCGUUAAUCGGAAUUACUGGGCGUAAAGCGCGCGUAGGUGGUUCGUUAAGUUGGAUGUGAAAGCCCGGGCUCAUCUGGGAACUGCAUCCAAACUGGCGAGCUAGAGUACGGUAGAGGGUGGUGGAAUUUCCUGUGUAGCGGUGAAUGCGUAGAUAUAGGAGGAACACCGGGGCGAAGCGACCCCUGGACUGUUC
rnacentral:rRNA from 1 species